UACGUAGGGGGCAAGCGUUGUUCGGAAUUACUGGGCGUAAAGGGCUCGUAGGUGGCCAACUAAGUCAGACGUGAAAUCCCUCGGCUUAACCGGGGAACUGCGUCUGAUACUGGAUGGCUUGAGUGCGGGAGAGGGAUGCGGAAUUCCAGGUGUAGCGGUGAAAUGCGUAGAUAUCUGGAGGAACACCGGUGGCGAAGGCGGCAUCCUGGACCGACACUGACACUGAGGAGCGAAAGCCAGGGGAGCAAACGGG
rnacentral:rRNA from 1 species